AGAGUUUGAUCAUGGCUCAGAGCGAACGCUGGCGGCGUACUUAACACAUGCAAGUCGAACGAGAAUCGCUUGUGUAGCAAUACACAGGUGGUUCUAGUGGCGUACGGGUGAGUAACACGUGGGCAACCUGCCCUUGAGUCCGGGAUACCCUCUCGAAAGGGAGGCUAAUACUGGAUACGUUCCUCGGGUCGCGAGAUCUGGGGAGGAAAGGUGGCGAAAGCUGCCGCUCUUGGAGGGGCUCGCGGCCUAUCAGCUAGUUGGUGAGGUAAUGGCUCACCAAGGCUAUGACGGGUAGCUGGUCUGAGAGGACGACCAGCCACACGGGAACUGAGACACGGUCCCGACUCCUACGGGAGGCAGCAGUGGGGAAUUUUCCGCAAUGGGCGAAAGCCUGACGGAGUGACGCCGCGUGGGGGACGAAGGCCUUCGGGUCGUAAACCCCUGUCAGAGGGAAAGAAGGGUCGCCGACCUAACACGUCGGUGAUCUGACGGUACCUUCAGAGGAAGCCCCGGCCAACUCUGUGCCAGCAGCCGCGGUAAGACAGAGGGGGCAAGCGUUGCUCGGAAUCACUGGGCGUAAAGGGCGCGUAGGCGGGAUGGCAAGUCAGUCGUGAAAUCUCUCGGCUCAACCGAGAAACGUCGGCUGAUACUGCCGUUCUUGAGGGAUGCAGAGGAGACUGGAAUUCCCGGUGUAGCGGUGAAAUGUGUAGAGAUCGGGAGGAACACCGGUGGCGAAGGCGGGUCUCUGGGCAUUUCCUGACGCUGAGGCGCGAAAGCGUGGGGAGCAAACGGGAUUAGAUACCCCGGUAGUCCACGCUGUAAACGAUGACGACUAGGUGUGGGGUGGGUUAGUCCAUUCCGUGCCGCAGCUAACGCAUUAAGUCGUCCGCCUGGGGAGUACGGCCGCAAGGUUGAAACUCAAAUGAAUUGACGG
rnacentral:rRNA from 1 species